AAGCCAUGGUGAGGGCAUAAUCUCAUCAACUCCUUGAAUCUAUCCCAAGCAUCAUAUAGUAAUUCACCAUCUCUUUGAGAAAAACCAGUGAUUUGGUUAUGAAAUU